AAUAGAUACCCAGGUAGUCCACGCCGUAAACGAUGAGUGCUAAGUGUUUGGAGGGGUUUCCGCCCUUCAGUGCUGCAGCUAACGCAUUAAGCACUCCGCCUGGGGGAGUACGGUCGCAAGACUGAAACUCAAAGGAAUUGACGGGGGCCCGCACAAGCGGUGGAGCAUGUGGUUUAAUUCGAAGCAACGCGAAGAACCUUACCAGGUCUUGACAUCUCCUGACCGCCCUGGAGACAGGGGUCUUCCCUUCGGGGACAGGAUGACAGGUGGUGCAUGGUUGUCGUCAGCUCGUGUCGUGAGAUGUUGGGUUAAGUCCCGCAACGAGCGCAACCCUUGGUUCUAGUUGCCAGCAUUCAGUUGGGCACUCUAGAGCGACUGCCGGCGAUAAGUCGGAGGAAGGUGGGGAUGACGUCAAAUCAUCAUGCCCCUUAUGACCUGGGCUACACACGUGCUACAAUGGAUGGUACAAAGGGCAGCGAAGCGGCGACGCAUGAGCGAAUCCCAGAAACCAUUCUCAGGUUC
rnacentral:rRNA from 1 species